rnacentral:rRNA from 1 species
AAUACCCGYUGAACUUAAGCAUAUCAAUAAGCGGAGGAAAAGAAACCAACAGGGAUUGCCCUAGUAACGGCGAGUGAAGCGGCAACAGCUCAAAUUUGAAAUCUGGCCUCGGCCCGAGUUGUAAUUUGCAGAGGAAGSUUCUGGCGCGGCACCUUCCGAGUCCCCUGGAAUGGGGCGCCAUAGAGGGUGAGAGCCCCGUAUGGUCGGCUGCCUAGCCUGUGUGAAGCUCCUUCGACGAGUCGAGUAGUUUGGGAAUGCUGCUCAAAAUGGGAGGUAAAUUCCUUCUAAAGCUAAAUAUUGGCCAGAGACCGAUAGCGCACAAGUAGAGUGAUCGAAAGAUGAAAAGCACUUUGAAAAGAGGGUUAAACAGCACGUGAAAUUGUUGAAAGGGAAGCGCUUGUGACCAGACUUGCGCCGGGCUGAUCAUCCGGUGUUCUCACCGGUGCACUCUGCCCGGCUCAGGCCAGCAUCGGUUCUGGCGGGGGGAUAAAGGCCCCGGGAAUGUAGCUC